GAAGUGUAGGUGGGCGGCACCUCGAAAGCUAACCUUCAAAUCAGACACCAUAUCCGGCUGGGCCACACACGUGUUACAAUGGCAAUGACAAUGGGAAGCAAGGCUGUAAGGCGGAGCGAAUCCGGAAAGAUUGCCUCAGUUCGGAUUGUUCUCUGCAACUCGGGAAUAUGAAGUUGAAAUCGUUAGUAAUCGUGGAUCAGCAUGCCGCGGU
rnacentral:rRNA from 1 species